rnacentral:rRNA from 1 species
GUCUAUGGCCAUACCACCCUGAACCCACCCGAUCUCGUCUGAUCUUGGAAGCUAAGCAGGGUUGGGCCUGGUUAGUACUUGGAUGGGAAAAAUAGCCACACAAGUUUCAAGUAGCACAGUUC